rnacentral:rRNA from 1 species
UACGUAGGGGGCUAGCGUUGUCCGGAAUUACUGGGCGUAAAGCGUGCGCAGGCGGUUUUGGAAGUCAGAUGUGAAAUCCCCGGGCUUAACCUGGGAACUGCGUUUGAAACUACAAGGCUAGAGUGUGACAGAGGGGGGUGGAAUUCCACGUGUAGCAGUGAAAUGCGUAGAGAUGUGGAGGAACACCGAUGGCGAAGGCAGCCCCCUGGGUUAACACUGACGCUCAGGCACGAAAGCGUGGGGAGCAAACAGG